AACUAACGCUGGCGGCGUGCCUAACACAUACAAGUCGUACGAGAAAGCCGGCUUCGGCUGGUGAGUAAAGUGGCGCACGGGUGAGUAACGCGUGGAUAAUCUGCCCUUAAGUGUGGAAUAACGUACCGAAAGGUGCGCUAAUACCGCAUAAUGCCUGGCAACACAAGUUGUCCGGCCAAAGAAGGCCUCUGUUUACAAGCUUUCGCUUCAGGAUGAGUCCGCGUACCAUUAGCUUGUUGGUGGGGUAAUGGCCUACCAAGGCUGCGAUGGUUAGCUGGUCUGAGAGGAUGAUCAGCCACACUGGAACUGAGACACGGUCCAGACUCCUACGGGAGGCCAGCAGGUGAGGAAUAUUGCGCAAUGGGGGCAACCCGUGACGCAGCAACGCCGCGUAAGUGAGGAAGGUUUUCGGACUGUAAAGCUCUGUCGAGCGGGAAGAAGUGUACCAUGGCUAAUAUCCAUGAUAUUUGACGGUACCGCUAGAGGAAGCACCGG
rnacentral:rRNA from 1 species